rnacentral:lncRNA from 1 species
AUCAGGAACAGUUGUUUGAUUUCAAAUUUAUCAGAUGUCUGUGUUUGGAUUCGAAUACAAACUGGGCUUACAAAUUCCUCAUGGAAAUUCAAAGCAAAAACCUUUCAAUACUGACAUUAAUCAAUCCACAAAAGACACCAUGCUAAUUAUUUGGAUAAAAAACCAACCUGAACUUAUUCUUUUAAAUAUGUGAGUACCAGAAUCAAAGAUUGAAAUAAGAUGUGAAUAAUAAUCAGAUCUCUUCACCAUCCAAAACACACGUAACAUGAUAUAAUCCAUCUAAACUAAACUCCGAAUUAGAACACAUUUUCACUAAUCAUAAAACUUAAAGAGCAGAACACUUCAAGCACCCAAAGUUUGACAUUAUGCCAAGUUCUCAAGAAUACACACUUAUAUUUGCCAUACUCGAAUAAUCAGAAAACUUCAGUGGCAAAUAUAUUUUUUAAAAAAACUAUAGAAUGUUGAAAGAAAGUAGGAAACAAAAGAGAUAACAACCAACUACAACUUGGAUUCAAUCCAAUUUCCAUUCAAAACACAUGCUUGCAAUCAAAUUGUUGUCCACAUUUUGAGAUGUUACCUGGUAUUGAACAACAAAGCCAAAAGAAAGUGAGAUCGGCAAGCAGCAGCAGAAGUUAGCCCGGAUUCAACAUUUGAACAGUGAAAUUAUCUCAAAAAAACUCAAUGGAACAGUAAAUAGCAGAAGAGCUUGAACCAGAACUUUCAAAAAUCACAAAUCAGUCCAUUUUAACCCCAAAAGGAGAAUCAUUGAUCUUUCAGAAAUUGAAACUCCAAAAAUCACAGAAGAAGCUCAAUGAAACAGUGAUUUCUAUUGGAAUUUUCAGCCGUUUUAUUUUUUUCUGGGUUUUUCUCUCUUCAAAAUCUCUGACUUGAAUAUCAAGUCUUGGUGCCUUUAUAGGCAAGGCACUAGGGCAGCUUAAAUGAACUAUGUUUUGCACUUCUACCUUUUUCAUAUCUUUUUUAGCUUAAGAGUCCUUAGUUUAAAUAUCAGAUUUUCCUAUAAGUCCCCACCCUAGCUUCCUAUUCUGUUAUUCAGAGAUUCCUCUAUCCAAUUUUCCCAAACCGACCCCCUUAAUCCUUGUUAUUUACUUCUUCAGCCUAAAACCAACUAUGGGUCAAUUUUGAACCAAUGGUUCAGACCCAAAUGGAUGGGUCAGCAUUGAACCCAAAGCCCAAACCAAAAGAAUCAGAACCCCAAAUUACUAAUCCGAGCGAGAAGCAGAAAGGAAAAAUAAAAAAAAUGAGCAACCACAAAAGCCCAAAAUAUGGACUAACCCUUGAUUUUCUUUUAAGCUAAACAACCAAACCGGAAUUAAACUAAAUUAAUCAAAUUAACAAAAACCCAAUUCAAGCUAAUUAACAGAAAAUGCCAUAACUUAAAAUAAAAUUAAGAAAACGAAGAACAACAAGUAGAAACUUGAAAAAGAAAAACUGAAAGAUUGACAAAAUGAACCCUAAAUUAAUCUAAAAGGGAAUAGUAAGGUUCAAAACUCUUCAACAAAUUCAGAUAAAGGACAUGCCAUUCAAACAAUCAUAGAAGAAGAAGAGGAGGAAGGGAAAAGACGAAAAAAAUGGACAAAGAAAGAAAGAGAACUCACCCAACAACUCGAACUCGUGACUGACCCCCAAUUUAAACCGCAAAAUAAUAUUAAUCACACGUUCUUUGUCAAGACAGGUGAAUAACAUUGUUUCGUGAUAAAAUCGGCCUUGAACACUCAUAAACACUGGAGAGAUAAUCUUGCAUGAAUGAACUUGGCUUUGUCUUCUAGGGCUCGAACCCUAGAUUUGGAAUUGGGGGAAUUUCGUUGGGAUUUUUGGGAAAUAGAUGUGGGGAUAGGAUUUAGGAUGGCCUGGGGGUUGUGUGGUAUGAAUUUGGUGCAGUUUGGAGCUCGCCCCCGGCAUAAAUGUCGGAGAGGAUAUGAGGGCGGAGCUAGGGUUUGGUUAUGAGAGUGUCUGAAGAGAGGGGGUGUGAGAGACGAGUGAAAGAGAGUGGGGUUAGGCAUUUGGACAG